rnacentral:sRNA from 2 species
CCAAAUGAAAGAUCCGCUUGCUCCGGCCCUAGCUGGGUGAGGGGAUUCAAACAUCGAAAUCUAUUUAAUAUUUAAAGAAUGAGUUGUAAAGAAAAGACGGCCUAUACAUUUACAACAACUCUACUUUGAGUCUAUAGAAAUAUUUGUACUGUUGGACACUGUAUUUGAGUAGCAAUCUAGAAGCACUACGCUGUAGAAGUUUGAUAGAGAGACAAAUCUGAGAAGCUGUUGUAAGGGUUGAGUAAACAACUUCCAUUACACAUGCUGAUACCAUACUUCACUUUUAGAUACUUCGGAAGCUUUACGGAGCAUGCGUGUCU